GCGUUGGAGUAUGUGGUUUAAUUCGAUGCUACGCGAAGAACCUUACCAGGGCUUGACAUGUCCGGAACCUUGCCGAAAGGUGAGGGUGCUUACGGGAACCGGAGCACAGGUGGUGCAUGGCUGUCGUCAGCUCGUGUCGUGAGAUGUUGGGUUAAGUCCCGCAACGAGCGCAACCCACGUUCUUAGUUGCCAGCAUUCAGUUGGGCACUCUAGGGAGACUGCCGGUGACAAACCGGAGGAAGGUGUGGAUGACGUCAAGUCAGCAUGCCCCUUACGUCCUGGGCUACACACGUACUACAAUGCUGUGGACAAAGGGCAGCCAGCCGGCGACGGUGAGCUAAUCCCAUAAACCACGGCACAGUUCAGAUUGCAGGCUGCAACUCGCCUGCAUGAAGGAGGAAUCGCUAGUAAUCGCAGGUCAGCAUACUGCGGUGAAUACGUUCCCGGGCCUUGUACACACCGCCCGUCACACCAUGGGAGUUGGUUUUGCCCGAAGUCGUUACUCCAACCUGCAA
rnacentral:rRNA from 1 species